rnacentral:rRNA from 1 species
CUCCGGUUGAUCCUGCCGGACCCGACUGCUAUCAGAGUGGGACUAAGCCAUGCGAGUCAACAUAGCAAUAUGUGGCAUACGGCUCAGUAACACGUAGUCAACAUGCCCAGGGGACGUGGAUAACCUCGGGAAACUGAGGAUAAACCGCGAUAGGUCAUCACUUCUGGAAUGGGUAAUGACUUAAAUCUAUAUGGCCCCUGGAUUGGACUGCGGCUGAUCAGGCUGUUGGUGAGGUAAUGGCCCACCAAACCUGUAACCGGUACGGGCUCUGAGAGGAGGAGCCCGGAGAUGGGCACUGAGACAAGGGCCCAGGCCCUAUGGGGCGCAGCAGGCGCGAAACCUCUGCAAUAGGCGAAAGCUUGACAGGGUUACUCUGAGUGAUUUCCGUUAAGGAGAUCUUUUGGCACCUCUAAAAAUGGUGCAGAAUAAGGGGUGGGCAAGUCUGGUGUCAGCCGCCGCGGUAAUACCAGCACCCCGAGUGGUCGGGACGUUUAUUGGGCCUAAAGCAUCCGUAGCCGGUUCUACAAGUCUUCCGUUAAAUCCACCUGCUUAACAGAUGGGCUGCGGAAGAUACUAUAGAGCUAGGAGGCGGGAGAGGCAAGCGGUACUCGAUGGGUAGGGGUAAAAUCCGUUGAUCCAUUGAAGACCACCAGUGGCGAAGGCGGCUUGCCAGAACGCGCUCGACGGUGAGGGAUGAAAGCUGGGGGAGCAAACCGGAUUAGAUACCCGGGUAGUCCCAGCUGUAAACGAUGCAGACUCGGUGAUGAGUUGGCUUAUUGCUAACUCAGUGCCGCAGGGAAGCCGUUAAGUUUGCCGCCUGGGGAGUACGGUCGCAAGACUGAAACUUAAAGGAAUUGGCGGGGGAGCA